UCCGAUCUCGCGUGCUGGCCGCUGCCGGCGCCGCCUGCUCCCAAUGCCUCGGGUGCCUUCUGCCGCCGUAGCCACCACCACACCACGACCUCGUCUCCUCUGCCCCCUUUCCCGUCUACGGGCUGCACAUCCUCGCCGGUGGUGGCGCUGCAUGCUACUCAUUCUUCUCCAUCGACACGCUCCACGACCACCCCCUUCAGGUACGCACUGCUCCCCGAGGACCUCCACACUGUCUGCACGAAGCUAAGGUUCAGAUCGCCAUUAUCGCUGCCACCGGCCACUAAUUAGUUCGCUAGGAUGUCCUUCACACCCGUCGUUCCUCGCACCUACUUAGCCUGAUAUAUCAAAUCACAGUAUUAGCGCUUUCUGUGGUCUCACAUCGCAGUUUUCUCUGCCGAAACUGUAGGAGGCAUGAAGAGGUUGGCUAUAGACCAGGCAGGAGAAUAGGGGCUAGGAAAAGGCAGAAAAUUGCCAGGCAAUAUAUGUUCUCCUGCACAUUUGAAUCCUGAUUUAGAUUCUCCUACAGAUUUGAAUAUUUUUACCAUACCAAUUAGCUUGUUAUUUUAUUUGUGAGUAUAAUGAUACGCCUGAUGCCCAAGGUUGUGCUUUUCCUCCUCAUAGUCCAAGUUACUCGAAAAUAAAUAUCAUGGCCCUGGAUUUGAUUGCAAUAGAAGUAUCAUAGAUUCAUCUCCACCUAUACCCCAUCUAUGGGUGUCAACGCCAAUCACCCUAAUUCCUAUAUCGUUGUCUCCUUAGGACUAAUAACCUAGAAAUUCUCAAAAUAAAGCAAAACUUCAAGCCCUUGAUCAUGUGGACCCUUACUUCAAAAAGCAUGGAUUUGAUCUAAUAUAAGCUUAUUCCUUGAUUUUCCACCGAGGUUCCUCACGCUGUGCACAGUUGAAGGAUGCUGGGCCAUUCAAAAUGGCUUCUUCAGCGCGCCGUCAUCCUCUCCUCCUCUAGCCAACGUCAAUGGCAUUCGGCAUUGAGGAGAAAGUAUUGCAUCGCAUAUAUGCUCCUUGAUUCCCUGGAUUCUGGAUCUCCUUGGGAAAAAGUAGGCAAAUGAUCUGCAAAGAUGCAAAUUAAUUGGGCAUGAUAACCCUGUUCUUAUUCUUCGAUUUAUUUUGAUCCUACGCAUUAGAAGGAUUUUCUUUGUGGCUGUUACGCUGCUCUGCUAGGCAUUAGAAGGAGUUCAUUUUUUACUGGUACGCCUGCUCUGCACCAUUAUCUAAAAAAUAAAUCCUAACAAGAGUAUGUUUGUAGCUAGCUUUCACAUGCUUCUGUUUUGUGAAAUGCAGCAAGAAUGCAGCAUGUACUCCUAUGUCCUGCAUAUGAACGUGAGAAGAAACUCAGGCACACCCUACUGAAUUAAGACCCGUGAUCCAUUUUCAGCUAAUUGUUUUACACACUCCUGUAUGGGCACUGUUUAACAUCGUAUUGGAUUUAUUAUUCCCCGCAAAAAUAAUAAUAUAGGAUAUAUGAUUGUCCAGUAAAAUACAGUAGGCCAAUCCAUAGGCUGUAGUAAAUUAAUUUUGUUUUAUUCACAGGAAUGCAUGUGUUUCAUUACUCAUUAAUUAUAUGGGGUUUUCACACUUACAACUGAUGCAUUUAACAGAUUUUGAGAAGAAAUAGGUUACUUUUGUCCCAUAUAAUAUUUAUCUUUAAAACUGGAAGUAAAGACAACAAAAUUACUGGAUACUAGGGUGACUCCUAUAUAAUUGAUCAAAUACAAUCAGAUAAUAUAAGUUGUGAUUUAUGUAAUCAUAUAAUAUAUUACAGUUCAUGUAAACCUAAAUAUAAUUUGUGUCAUUUCUUCUUUUUUUAUUGUGUUUAUUCAUAGAACUAAAAGUCAGUUUUCAGGGAGACAUUGGUUUCAGCCUUGGCCUUCUUCAGUUGAAAGAUUAUGCUGCUUAUUCUGUCAUUCUGAGAAAGUCAAUAUCUCAGCAGCAAGCUGGCAACUUAGGCAAUGAUGUUGGACGAUCCAAUUCUUUUGGACUCAAACUCUUGGUUUGUUGCUUUAUAUUCUGAAUUUCUUUUGUAAACAAAAGGGAGGAGUUGGAGAGGAUCUGCAAUUGUAAAAUUUACUUGUUUUCAUUGGAAUUGUUUACUUAAUUAUGAAAUGAUUUUUAUUUCUUCUGGAUUUGAUAUACUAUUCUUGGGCUCAUGGGAUUGCCUGACACGGUGAAGAGCUAACUGUUGGUGUUGUUUUACAUCAGUCAUGUUUGUUUUAUUUCAAUGUUAGACGUGGUUCUAACAAAAAAUGUAGGCAAGGCUUCAAUUUCUUGUGAGGCAGCAUGCUACUGAUACAAAGGAAACUGCCUCCCUAAGCACUUAGCCCCUCUAGAGGAUUACGUGACGAUUAAUUGUGAAGC
rnacentral:lncRNA from 1 species